rnacentral:rRNA from 1 species
GGUUAAGCGACUAAGCGUACACGGUGGAUGCCCUGGCAGUCAGAGGCGAUGAAGGGCGUGCUAAUCUGCGAUAAGCGCCGGUAAGGUGAUAUGAACCGUUAUAACCGGCGAUACCCGAAUGGGGAAACCCAGUGUGACUCGUCACACUAUCAUUAACUGAAUCCAUAGGUUAAUGAGGCGAACCGGGGGAACUGAAACAUCUAAGUACCCCGAGGAAAAGAAAUCAACCGAGAUUCCCCCAGUAGCGGCGAGCGAACGGGGAGGAGCCCAGAGCCUGAAUCAGCAUGUGUGUUAGUGGAAGCGUCUGGAAAGGCGCGCGAUACAGGGUGACAGCCCCGUACACAAAAGCGCAUGUGCUGUGAGCUCGAUGAGUAGGGCGGGACACGUGGUAUCCUGUCUGAAUAUGGGGGGACCAUCCUCCAAGGCUAAAUACUCCUGACUGACCGAUAGUGAACCAGUACCGUGAGGGAAAGGCGAAAAGAACCCCGGCGAGGGGAGUGAAAAAGAACCUGAAACCGUGUACGUACAAGCAGUGGGAGCACAGGUUUACCUGUGUGACUGCGUACCUUUUGUAUAAUGGGUCAGCGACUUAUAUUCUGUAGCAAGGUUAACCGUAUAGGGGAGCCGUAGGGAAACCGAGUCUUAACCGGGCGUUAAGUUGCAGGGUAUAGACCCGAAACCCGGUGAUCUAGCCAUGGGCAGGUUGAAGGUUGGGUAACACUAACUGGAGGACCGAACCGACUAAUGUUGAAAAAUUAGCGGAUGACCUGUGGCUGGGGGUGAAAGGCCAAUCAAACCGGGAGAUAGCUGGUUCUCCCCGAAAGCUAUUUAGGUAGCGCCUCGUGAAUUCAUCUCCGGGGGUAGAGCACUGUUUCGGCUAGGGGGCCAUCCCGGCUUACCAACCCGAUGCAAACUGCGAAUACCGGAGAAUGUUAUCACGGGAGACACACGGCGGGUGCUAACGUCCGUCGUGAAGAGGGAAACAACCCAGACCGCCAGCUAAGGUCCCAAAGUCAUGGUUAAGUGGGAAACGAUGUGGGAAGGCCCAGACAGCCAGGAUGUUGGCUUAGAAGCAGCCAUCAUUUAAAGAAAGCGUAAUAGCUCACUGGUCGAGUCGGCCUGCGCGGAAGAUGUAACGGGGCUAAACCAUGCACCGAAGCUGCGGCAGCGACACUGUGUGUUGUUGGGUAGGGGAGCGUUCUGUAAGCCUGUGAAGGUGGCCUGUGAGGGUUGCUGGAGGUAUCAGAAGUGCGAAUGCUGACAUAAGUAACGAUAAAGCGGGUGAAAAGCCCGCUCGCCGGAAGACCAAGGGUUCCUGUCCAACGUUAAUCGGGGCAGGGUGAGUCGACCCCUAAGGCGAGGCCGAAAGGCGUAGUCGAUGGGAAACGGGUUAAUAUUCCCGUACUUGGUGUUACUGCGAAGGGGGGACGGAGAAGGCUAUGUUGGCCGGGCGACGGUUGUCCCGGUUUAAGCGUGUAGGUGUGUGUUCCAGGUAAAUCCGGUUCACUUUAACACUGAGGCGUGACGACGAGGCACUACGGUGCUGAAGCAACAAAUGCCCUGCUUCCAGGAAAAGCCUCUAAGCAUCAGGUAACAUCAAAUCGUACCCCAAACCGACACAGGUGGUCAGGUAGAGAAUACCAAGGCGCUUGAGAGAACUCGGGUGAAGGAACUAGGCAAAAUGGUGCCGUAACUUCGGGAGAAGGCACGCUGACACGUAGGUGAAGUGAUUUACUCAUGGAGCUGAAGUCAGUCGAAGAUACCAGCUGGCUGCAACUGUUUAUUAAAAACACAGCACUGUGCAAACACGAAAGUGGACGUAUACGGUGUGACGCCUGCCCGGUGCCGGAAGGUUAAUUGAUGGGGUCAGCGCAAGCGAAGCUCCUGAUCGAAGCCCCGGUAAACGGCGGCCGUAACUAUAACGGUCCUAAGGUAGCGAAAUUCCUUGUCGGGUAAGUUCCGACCUGCACGAAUGGCGUAAUGAUGGCCAGGCUGUCUCCACCCGAGACUCAGUGAAAUUGAACUCGCUGUGAAGAUGCAGUGUACCCGCGGCAAGACGGAAAGACCCCGUGAACCUUUACUAUAGCUUGACACUGAACAUUGAGCCUUGAUGUGUAGGAUAGGUGGGAGGCUUUGAAGUGUGGACGCCAGUCUGCAUGGAGCCGACCUUGAAAUACCACCCUUUAAUGUUUGAUGUUCUAACGUGGACCCGUUACCCGGGUUGCGGACAGUGUCUGGUGGGUAGUUUGACUGGGGCGGUCUCCUCCUAAAGAGUAACGGAGGAGCACGAAGGUUGGCUAAUCCUGGUCGGACAUCAGGAGGUUAGUGCAAUGGCAUAAGCCAGCUUGACUGCGAGCGUGACGGCGCGAGCAGGUGCGAAAGCAGGUCAUAGUGAUCCGGUGGUUCUGAAUGGAAGGGCCAUCGCUCAACGGAUAAAAGGUACUCCGGGGAUAACAGGCUGAUACCGCCCAAGAGUUCAUAUCGACGGCGGUGUUUGGCACCUCGAUGUCGGCUCAUCACAUCCUGGGGCUGAAGUAGGUCCCAAGGGUAUGGCUGUUCGCCAUUUAAAGUGGUACGCGAGCUGGGUUUAGAACGUCGUGAGACAGUUCGGUCCCUAUCUGCCGUGGGCGCUGGAGAACUGAGGGGGGCUGCUCCUAGUACGAGAGGACCGGAGUGGACGCAUCACUGGUGUUCGGGUUGUCAUGCCAAUGGCACUGCCCGGUAGCUAAAUGCGGAAGAGAUAAGUGCUGAAAGCAUCUAAGCACGAAACUUGCCCCGAGAUGAGUUCUCCCUGAGACUUAGAGUCUCCUGAAGGAACGUUGAAGACGACGACGUUGAUAGGCCGGGUGUGUAAGCGCAGCGAUGCGUUGAGCUAACCGGUACUAAUGAACCGUGAGGCUUAACCUU